rnacentral:rRNA from 1 species
UACGUAGGGAGCGAGCGUUGUCCGGAUUUACUGGGUGUAAAGGGCGUGUAGGCGGAGCUGCAAGUCAGAAGUGAAAUCUCCGGGCUCAACCCGGAAACUGCUUUUGAAACUGUAGCCCUUGAGUAUCGGAGAGGCAGGCGGAAUUCCGUGUGUAGCGGUGAAAUGCGUAGAUAUACGGAGGAACACCAGUGGCGAAGGCGGCCUGCUGGACGACAACUGACGCUGAGGCGCGAAAGCGUGGGGAGCAA